rnacentral:rRNA from 1 species
UGGGGAAUAUUGGACAAUGGACCAAGAGUCUGAUCCAGCAAUUCUGUGUGCACGAUGACGUUUUUCGGAAUGUAAAGUGCUUUCAGUUGGGAAGAAAAAAAUGACGGUACCAACAGAAGAAGUGACGGCUAAAUACGUGCCAGCAGCCGCGGUAAUACGUAUGUCACGAGCGUUAUCCGGAUUUAUUGGGCGUAAAGCGCGUCUAGGUGGUUAUGUAAGUCUGAUGUGAAAAUGCAGGGCUCAACUCUGUAUUGCGUUGGAAACUGUGUAACUAGAGUACUGGAGAGGUAAGCAGAACUACAAGUGUAGAGGUGAAAUUCGUAGAUAUUUGUAGGAAUGCCGAUGGGGAAGCCAGCUUACUGGACAGAUACUGACGCUGAAGCGCGAAAGCGUGGGUAGCAAACAGGAUUAGAUACCCUGGUAGUCCACGCCGUAAACGAUGAUUACUAGGUGUUGGGGGUCGAACCUCAGCGCCCAAGCAAACGCGAUAAGUAAUCCGCCUGGGGAGUACGUACGCAAGUAUG